GCGGCGCGGGAAGGGGAGCCCCGGCUCCCGAGCCCCGGGCGCGCGUCCUUGGGGACGUCACAGCGCUGGAAUCCGAGGAAUGCCGAGCUGCCGGAGCUCCUUCUGCAGGCCCGGGAGAAGUCGCGCACUUUUAUAAACGUGGUGGCUUUGGGAGAAGGUUUUCAAAGGGAAGCCUGCUGCGCUGAAGUCCAUGGGAUUGCAAAGAGCUGGACAUGACUGGGUGACGGAACAACAGCAUUUUUGUCAUCGGCUCCCAAGAUUCCCAUGAAUUAAAGUCCUCACUGUUUAGCUACAUGAAGUCCAAGAAGUGGCAGUUUGGGUCCAUGGUCCUCCCUAGCACACAGAAGAUCGCCUUCGACUGGCGUGAAGUCACCGUUUCUGGUAGUGCAGAGUCAUUUCUGUUCGUGACCUCAAUCUCAAAAGCUGCCCUAAAACCUCCCUGAAAAUAUAUCCAGUCUGAGGAAGCCGGAUUCCAAUUUUAUGGGCACUGACUCUUCUCCAUCUCGUGUCCUGAAUGUGACAUUUAAAUAAAGCCCCAAUAAAAGGUAAUUCAUUAGUUUGUUUUUUCCCCCUCACCUCUUUGGUUCUGAGCUUAUUUUCAAAUGUAAUUUAAACGCCUAAAUGAAAUUGUCAAUAAAUAAUAAUGCAAACUGUACUACUGCCCUUAUGGAAGUCAAAAAAAAGCUAGAUAGACUUCCAGAUGGAUUGCAGAUUCAGAGAGGACUGGAAAAUAGAACAAGAAAGGGUGCAUUUGUUUCUAACAUUGGCCGCUAUUGCCAGAACACCCCUCUGAAGGUAUGGGCCAUGAAAAGGAUCUUCUGCUGUGAUUAGCAACAAGGAACAACCUUUGCUGGGGGAGGGAAGAAUCAGGUCGUGUUUGGGAUGCCUUUCUAAAGAACAUGGACUCUCCAGCCUGCAGGGGUGAGAUAGGGUUACCCCCAAGUAUGGGCAGGGCUAUGUCAGUGAAUCCAAUAGCACUAAAUCAAAACCUCCUCUUAAGACCCGGCUGCUUUCUGGCUGCCUCCCCUAGAAUAAGGGGUGACUCAGAGGGUGGCUGACUCCCUGACUUCAAACAUUUCUGAGUAAUUCCCACAGACCCAGACAAGGGCAAUUAGAGGACUGGUUUGGAAUGACCACUGAGGAUUGCAAGAGACUUAUGGUGGCCAGCAGGGCAAAGGCAAAUGGUCUAGGAAGCUCAAUUUUGAGGUGUCUUCUGCUACAAUUAGGAGACAGAGGUACCUUCUGACAUCCUAAAUCUUAAGAUGCUAGAAGGAGUUUACUCACGUAGGAGGGCACGUCCUGAGCUUCCCGCCCGAUGGGCACCUCUGAGGUCCUGGGAUACACAAAAGACAGAGCUUUUAUAUGCUGAAAGAAAAACUAGCUACCUUUCCAAUCUAAUUUCCAACUAUACUUCCCUGGCUUUCUCUGCCCCCUGGAUGCCGGCAUUCUGCUAUUCCUUGAACAUACACUCCGAAUCCUCUCCCACCCCAGGAUCUUUGCAUGUACUGUUUCCUCUGCCAAGAACUCCACUCCUCUAGGUGUUUUUUCACUUCAGUCCUUGGACAGAACUUUCCCAACCAUCCUGUCAAAAUAGAACCUCUUCACACUCCAUCCUCUGUUCCUUUGUGUGCAUGCUCAGUCAUGUCUGACUCUUUGCGACCUCGUGGACUAUAUAGCCCACCAGGCUCCUCUGUCCAUGGAAUUGUCCAGGCAAGAAUAUUGGAGUGAGUUGCCAUUUCCUCCUCCAGGGGACCUUGCUGACCCAGGAUUGAA